rnacentral:lncRNA from 1 species
CACUGCAGGCUAGAGCCUAGAGGAGAGCCCCUGCUGAGUGGGAGGUGGGGGAGGAAUGCAGAGCCUUACUGUCUGCAGCCUGGCUGGAGGAGGAGGGAGGAGACGAGAAACCAAUGUCACAGUCAAGUGCAAUACUUGCACUUAAAUGAACUUUUCAUUCUGCUGCAAAUUACAAUACGUACAGAUUUUCCUUCAAUUGAGACUGCAGAGGAGACACAAUCCAGGCUCCAGAGGCAGCAAGGCAGAAAGCACAAAGGUGAACAAGGAAGAAAUGUGGAGUGAAGUAGGGCUAUAA